UCCAGACUCCUACGGGAGGCAGCAGUGGGGAAUAUUGCACAACGGGGGGAACCCUGAUGCAGCGACGCCGCGUGGGUGAAGGAGCACCUCGGUGCGUAAAGCCCUCUCGGCAGGGAAGAAAAGCGAACAGGUUCGCCUGGACGGUACCUGACUAAGAAGCCCCGGCUAAAUACGUGCCAGCAGCCGCGGUAAUACGUAGGGGGCAAGCGUUAUCCGGAUUUACUGGGUGUAAAGGGAGCGUAGACGGAUAAGCAAGUCUGAUGUGAAAAUCCGGGGCCCAACCCCGGAAUUGCAUUGGAAACUGCAUAUCUAGAGUGUCGGAGAGGCAAGUGGAAUUCCUGGUGUAGCGGUGAAAUGCGUAGAUAUUAGGAGGAACACCAGUGGCGAAGGCGUCUUACUGGACCGAAACUGACGUUGAGGCUCGAAAGCGUGGGGAGCAAACAGGAUUAGAUACCCGAGUAAC
rnacentral:rRNA from 1 species